UACGGAGGAUCCGAGCGUUAUCCGGAUUUAUUGGGUUUAAAGGGUGCGCAGGCGGGGGAUUAAGUCGGCGGUGAAAUUUUGCAGCUCAACUGUAAAAGUGCCUUCGAAACUGGUUUCCUUGAGUGUAGAUGAAGUAGGCGGAAUUUGUGGUGUAGCGGUGAAAUGCAUAGAUAUCACGAGGAACUCCGAUUGUGCAGGCAGCUUACUAAACUACUACUGACGCUCAGGCACGAAGGCGUGGGGAUCAAACAGGAUUAGAUACCCUGGUAGU
rnacentral:rRNA from 1 species